AGAGUUUGAUCAUGGCUCAGAGCGAACGCUGGCGGCAGGCCUAACACAUGCAAGUCGAACGGAUCCUUCGGGAUUAGUGGCGGACGGGUGAGUAACACGUGGGAACGUGCCUUUUGGUUCGGAACAACUCAGGGAAACUUGAGCUAAUACCGGAUAAGCCUUUCGAGGGAAAGAUUUAUCGCCAUUAGAGCGGCCCGCGUAGGAUUAGCUAGUUGGUGAGGUAAAGGCUCACCAAGGCUACGAUCCUUAGCUGGUCUGAGAGGAUGAUCAGCCACAUUGGGACUGAGACACGGCCCAAACUCCUACGGGAGGCAGCAGUGGGGAAUCUUGCGCAAUGGGCGAAAGCCUGACGCAGCCAUGCCGCGUGAAUGAUGAAGGUCUUAGGAUUGUAAAAUUCUUUCACCGGGGACGAUAAUGACGGUACCCGGAGAAGAAGCCCCGGCUAACUUCGUGCCAGCAGCCGCGGUAAUACGAAGGGGGCUAGCGUUGCUCGGAAUUACUGGGCGUAAAGGGAGCGUAGGCGGAUAGUUUAGUCAGAGGUGAAAGCCCAGGGCUCAACCUUGGAAUUGCCUUUGAUACUGGCUAUCUUGAGUACGGAAGAGGUAUGUGGAACUCCGAGUGUAGAGGUGAAAUUCGUAGAUAUUCGGAAGAACACCAGUGGCGAAGGCGACAUACUGGUCCGUUACUGACGCUGAGGCUCGAAAGCGUGGGGAGCAAACAGGAUUAGAUACCCUCGUAGUCC
rnacentral:rRNA from 1 species